rnacentral:snRNA from 1 species
GUGCUUGCUUUGGCAGAACAUAUACUAAAAUUAAAAUGAUACAGAGAAGAUUAGCAUGGCCCCUGCUCAAGGAUGACAUGAAAAUUUGUGAAGCAUUCCAUAUUUCU